rnacentral:rRNA from 1 species
UCAGGCCUAACACAUGCAAGUCGAGCGCGCCUUUCGGGGUGAGCGGCGGACGGGUUAGUAACGCGUGGGAAUAUGCCCUUUGGUACGGAAUAGCCUCUGGAAACGGAGAGUAAUACCGUAUGUGCCCUUCGGGGGAAAGACUUAUCGCCAAAGGAUUAGCCCGCGUUAGAUUAGGUAGUUGGUGGGGUAAUGGCCUACCAAGCCUACGAUCUAUAGCUGGUUUUAGAGGAUGAUCAGCAACACUGGGACUGAGACACGGCCCAGACUCCUACGGGAGGCAGCAGUGGGGAAUCUUGGACAAUGGGGGCAACCCUGAUCCAGCCAUGCCGCGUGAGUGAUGAAGGCCUUAGGGUCGUAAAGCUCUUUCGCCUGUGAAGAUAAUGACGGUAGCAGGUAAAGAAACCCCGGCUAACUCCGUGCCAGCAGCCGCGGUAAUACGGAGGGGGUUAGCGUUGUUCGGAAUUACUGGGCGUAAAGCGCACGUAGGCGGAUCGGAAAGUUGGGGGUGAAAUCCCGGGGCUCAACCCCGGAACUGCCUCCAAAACUAUCGGUCUAGAGUUCGAGAGAGGUGAGUGGAAUUCCGAGUGUAGAGGUGAAAUUCGUAGAUAUUCGGAGGAACACCAGUGGCGAAGGCGGCUCACUGGCUCGAUACUGACGCUGAGGUGCGAAAGUGUGGGGAGCAAACAGGAUUAGAUACCCU